AUUGCAUUGUACUUUUAAUUACAUAGUCUUAAUUUUUGUGGUGACACUCCAGGCUCUCAUAUAAUGUUGUUUAAUGUUUACAUCUCCUUAUUGAUUUGAUAAUUUAAAUACAAAAUGUCAUUUAAUUUGCAUAUUUCUACAUUCAUUGUUGGGGUGCUGUGCUCAUUAAGGAAUCAGGGGAAUUCUGUCUUUUCCCCCAUCUCUUUCAUGCACAUGCAGGCAUGUAUGUUCCAUAUUUCCUUUUCUUAGGCACCAAAUGCUUUUCUUCUCCACUGCUGUGAGACCAUGAUCCUCUCUAUGCUUGACACUUUGAACCCAGGGGUUUGGUGUGAUAUGGGCUGCUGCUCCAGGCAGCUCUUUUUCUGGCACUCCUUGGAGGUGGCUGAAGAUAGUGGUGGGUAGUUCAAGAGCUACUACUGAGCACGCUAGCUUUGGCGGGCUCUUUCUUCACCUGGGAAGUCAAACACACAGUACAGAGUGGUUUGGAUCCACCCAUCCCCUGUAGAGAAUAUUGUAGAAGCAGAUCUUGCAGAAGCCCACAGAAAUCAUAGGGUGAGUCCAGUUAGAUAUCCUUUGUUUCAGGAUGAGAAUGAUGUCCUUACUGCUCUCCAGAUGCCAUUCAGAAAUAGCUAUGAGAAUGCAACCAACCAACAGCAAACCUUCAAACCUUCCUUCCUCCAUCAAAACCAAGAUCUAUGACCAUCCUCUUCCACUCACCUCAGCUCUCUCGGAGAGAAGCCGUAGACAUGGCUCCAUCCUACCCCACGCAGUCUUAGCCACGUGACUAAAUCCCAUCUUUGUGGACUGGUUUUGAGGUGUUUGUCUUUUAGUUUUAGAGCUCCAGGCAUAUUUUAGAGAUACACCAUGCUGCUCCUCUUUGCUUCAGCCUUGCAUGUAUUUGGCAACUUGCUUUGUCUCAGCUUGGUCCCCUCUUCAGACCACACACUUCUCUCUUUCUCGCCCUUUCUUCAAAGGCAGGUUUUCUACAACUCCAGUCAUUCUUUUUGCACCUCUUGGGGCUUUUCCCUGCUGACCCAUAUCUUUCCUGAAGUGUGGAAAUUGUUCUUAAGCCAAGAUGCCACCACUGCCAAGUUUAAUGGAAAGAUUGUCUCAUGCCUUCUGCAGCAUGCCCCUCUGAACAGGCAUCCCAGGAGGACUGCUGGAUUUUUGCAGGACUGGAUUUCUGCUGUACUCCCAAGCAUCACAGCCCUGGAUCUUUUUUCCGCAUGGCAGCAGCCUGGCCAGUUGCUCCUCAUCUUGUAUUUGAGAAAUUGAUUUUAACUCCCCUGCCAGGGAGUGAAACAUUUUAAUUACUUC
rnacentral:lncRNA from 1 species